AUGAACGCUAGCUACAGGCUUAACACAUGCAAGUCGAGGGGCAGCAUGGUCUUAGCUUGCUAAGGCCGAUGGCGACCGGCGCACGGGUGAGUAACACGUAUCCAACCUGCCGUCUACUCUUGGACAGCCUUCUGAAAGGAAGAUUAAUACAAGAUGGCAUCAUGAGUCCGCAUGUUCACAUGAUUAAAGGUAUUCCGGUAGACGAUGGGGAUGCGUUCCAUUAGAUAGUAGGCGGGGUAACGGCCCACCUAGUCUUCGAUGGAUAGGGGUUCUGAGAGGAAGGUCCCCCACAUUGGAACUGAGACACGGUCCAAACUCCUACGGGAGGCAGCAGUGAGGAAUAUUGGUCAAUGGGCGAGAGCCUGAACCAGCCAAGUAGCGUGAAGGAUGACUGCCCUAUGGGUUGUAAACUUCUUUUAUAAAGGAAUAAAGUCGGGUAUGGAUACCCGUUUGCAUGUACUUUAUGAAUAAGGAUCGGCUAACUCCGUGCCAGCAGCCGCGGUAAUACGGAGGAUCCGAGCGUUAUCCGGAUUUAUUGGGUUUAAAGGGAGCGUAGAUGGAUGUUUAAGUCAGUUGUGAAAGUUUGCGGCUCAACCGUAAAAUUGCAGUUGAUACUGGAUAUCUUGAGUGCAGUUGAGGCAGGCGGAAUUCGUGGUGUAGCGGUGAAAUGCUUAGAUAUCACUAAGAACUCCGAUUGCGACGGCAGCCUGCUACGCUGCAACUGACAUUGAGGCUCGAAAGUGUGGGUAUCAAACAGGAUUAGAUACCCUGGUAGUCCACACGGUAAACGAUGAAUACUCGCUGUUUGCGAUAUACUGCAAGCGGCCAAGCGAAAGCGUUAAGUAUUCCACCUGGGGAGUACGCCGGCAACGGUGAAACUCAAAGGAAUUGACGGGGGCCCGCACAAGCGGAGGAACAUGUGGUUUAAUUCGAUGAUACGCGAGGAACCUUACCCGGGCUUAAAUUGCAGAUGAAUUACGGUGAAAGCCGUAAGCCGCAAGGCAUCUGUGAAGGUGCUGCAUGGUUGUCGUCAGCUCGUGCCGUGAGGUGUCGGCUUAAGUGCCAUAACGAGCGCAACCCUUGUUGUCAGUUACUAACAGGUUCCGCUGAGGACUCUGACAAGACUGCCAUCGUAAGAUGUGAGGAAGGUGGGGAUGACGUCAAAUCAGCACGGCCCUUACGUCCGGGGCUACACACGUGUUACAAUGGGGGGUACAGAGGGCCGCUACCACGCGAGUGGAUGCCAAUCCCCAAAACCUCUCUCAGUUCGGACUGGAGUCUGCAACCCGACUCCACGAAGCUGGAUUCGCUAGUAAUCGCGCAUCAGCCACGGCGCGGUGAAUACGUUCCCGGGCCUUGUACACACCGCCCGUCAAGCCAUGGGAGCCGGGGGUACCUGAAGUGCGUAACCGCGAGGAGCGCCCUAGGGUAAAACUGGUGACUGGGGCU
rnacentral:rRNA from 1 species